GCCCAGGUGAUGGAAUUGGUAGACAUGAGGGACUUAAAAUCCCUUGAGCAUUGCGCUCGUGCGGGUUCAAGUCCCGCCCUGGGUACAA
rnacentral:tRNA from 1 species